AAAUUGAAGAGUUUGAUCCUGGCUCAGAUUGAACGCUGGCGGCAUGGCUAAAACAUGCAAGUCGAACGAUUAAAGCUUCUUCGGAAGUAUAUAAAGUGGCGUAAGGGCGAGUAAUAUAUUUCUAUGUACCCCUAAGUUGAGGAUAGCCCAGAGAAAUUUGGUGUAAUACUCAAUGUGGUCUCCGGAUCAAAGAUUUAUCGCUUAGGGAGCAGGGAAUAUCCUAUCAGGUAGUUGGUGAGGUAACGGCUCACCAAGCCAAAGACGGGUAGCGGGUGUGAGAGCAUGACCCGCCGCAUCGGAACUGAGACACUGUCCGGACUCCUACGGGAGGCUGCAGUAACGAAUAUUCCGCAAUGAGCGAAAGCUUGACGGAGCAAUGCCGCGUGUAGGAUGAAUCUCUUCGGAGUGUAAACUACUGUCAGAGACUAGGAACUCAAUGACCAAUCUCAAAGGAAGGGCCGGCUAACUUCGUGCCAGCAGCCGCGGUAAUACGAAGGGCCCGAGCGUUAUUCGGAAUCACUGGGCUUAAAGCGUACGUAGGCUGGUAUAUAGGCAUUUUGUGAAAUCCCUCGGCUCAACCGAGGAACUGCAGAGUGAACCAUAUACCUUGAGACAGACAGAGGUCGUUGGAACGAUUGGUGGAGUGGUGAAAUGCGUUGAUAUCAAUCGGAACGCCAAUGGAGAAGUCAAGCGACUGGGUCUGUUCUGACGCUGAGGUACGAAAGCGUGGGUAGCGAACGGGAUUAGAUACCCCGGUAGUCCACGCCGUAAACGAUGUGCACUAGGUCGAGGGCGUUCUGACGCGACUCUCGGCCGAAGCGAAAGUGUUAAGUGCACCGCCUGGGGAGUACGGUCGCAAGGCUAAAACUCAAAGGAAUUGACGGGGGCUCACACAAGCGGUGGAGCAUGUGGCUUAAUUCGAAGCAACGCGAAGAACCUUAUCCUAGGUUUGACAUACACGGAUUAGCUAUAAGAAACUAUAGUGACACCUUCGGGUGGAACGUGAACAGGUGCUGCAUGGCUGUCGUCAGCUCGUGCUGUGAAGUGUCGGGUUAAGUCCCUUAACGAGCGCAACCCUUAUCGUUAGUUGCUAACAGGUAAUGCUGAGGACUCUAGCGAGACUGCCGGUGUUAAACCGGAGGAAGGUGGGGAUGACGUCAAGUCCGCAUGGCCUUUAUGCCUAGGGCUGCACACGUGCUACAAUGGCAAGUACAGAACGAUGCAAUACCGCGAGGUGGAGCAAAUCGCUAAAGCUUGCCCCAGUUCGGAUUGCAGGCUGCAACUCGCCUGCAUGAAGUUGGAAUCGCUAGUAAUCGCGGAUCAGCACGCCGCGGUGAAUACGUUCCUGAGCCUUGUACACACCGCCCGUCAAGUCAUGGAAGCUGGUAGUGCCUUAAGUCGCCGAAAUUCAUCGGUGCCCACGGCAAGACUGGUGACUGGGACUAAGUCGUAACAAGGUAGCCGUAGGGGAACCUGCGGCUGGAUCACCUCCUUUCUAA
rnacentral:rRNA from 1 species